rnacentral:rRNA from 1 species
AACGAACGCUGGCGGCAUGCCUAACACAUGCAAGUCGAACGAGACCUUCGGGUCUAGUGGCGCACGGCUGCGUAACGCGUGGGAACCUGCCCUUAGGUUCGGAAUAACUCCCCGAAAGGGGUGCUAAUACCGGAUAAUGUCUUCGGACCAAAGAUUUAUCGCCUUUGGAUGGGCCCGCGUUGGAUUAGCUAGUUGGUAGGGUAAAAGCCUACCAAGGCGACGAUCCAUAGCUGGUCUGAGAGGAUGAUCAGCCACACUGGGACUGAGACACGGCCCAGACUCCUACGGGAGGCAGCAGUGGGGAAUAUUGGACAAUGGGCGAAAGCCUGAUCCAGCAAUGCCGCGUGAGUGAUGAAGGCCUUAGGGUUGUAAAUCUCUUUUACCCGGGAUGAUAAUGACAGUACCGGGAGAAUAAGCUCCGGCUAACUCCGUG